CUCGAUCUUGGUUUUACUUAAAAUCAAAACCGGCCAAGUGCGAGUCGGGCUCGCGCACAAAGGGUUCCGUAGCAGCAAAUAUAAUAAACUUAUUGAUCUAUCUUAUAAGGUUCAGCCAUCGUUUUCAGUGUAAGCACAAUAACUUAACCAAAAUUACAGUUAAAUCAACCUAUCUCAAAAACUAUAAGAGAUACUUUGAUCAAACCAAAAAUCGUUGAAAGAGUUAAUUAGCAUGCAUCACCUCUAUUUUUUUUAGAAUUU